GAAAACGGUGGUGAACAAGUUUUUUUAAAAAAUAAUGUACUUGUUACAUGAUUUUUACUGGGAAAUUUAGCUUCAUUCCGAGAUAGAACCUUUCACUGACCUGGAAAUGCAGUCUUCAAACUAACGUAUUUAACUAUCAUCUGGAUUCACACAAGUGCUAUUAACCCAAGUUGACCAAUAGUCUAUACCUGAAGAUAGGAUACAGAAAGUAGACAAAAAUUACUGUUUGAUUUUGUGCUAUGUGGUCAUGUUUUAGGUUUCCAGUUGAGAUUCUUGAUUUAUCCAG
rnacentral:misc_RNA from 1 species